UACGGGGGGAGCAAGCGUUGUUCGGAUUUACUGGGCGUAAAGGGCGCGUAGGCGGCCAGCACACGUCAGUUGUGAAAUCUCCGGGCUUAACUCGGAAAGGUCAACUGAUACUGUGCGACUAGAGUGCAGAAGGGGCAACUGGAAUUCUCGGUGUAGCGGUGAAAUGCGUAGAUAUCGAGAGGAACACCUGCGGCGAAGGCGGGUUGCUGGGCUGACACUGACGCUGAUGCGCGAAAGCCAGGGGAGCGAACGGG
rnacentral:rRNA from 1 species